AUUGAACGCUGGCGGCAUGCCUUACACAUGCAAGUCGAACGGUAACAGGUCUUCGGAUGCUGACGAGUGGCGAACGGGUGAGUAAUACAUCGGAACGUGCCUAGUAGUGGGGGAUAACUACUCGAAAGAGUGGCUAAUACCGCAUGAGAUCUACGGAUGAAAGCAGGGGAUCGCAAGACCUUGUGCUACUAGAGCGGCCGAUGGCAGAUUAGGUAGUUGGUGGGAUAAAAGCUUACCAAGCCGACGAUCUGUAGCUGGUCUGAGAGGACGAUCAGCCACACUGGUACUGAGACACGGCCCAGACUCCUACGGGAGGCAGCAGUGGGGAAGUUUGGACAAUGGGCGCAAGCCUGAUCCAGCAAUGCCGCGUGCAGGAUGAAGGCCUUCGGGUUGUAAACUGCUUUUGUACGGAACGAAAAGCCCUGGGUUAAUACCCUGGGGUCAUGACGGUACCGUAAGAAUAAGCACCGGCUAACUACGUGCCAGCCGCCGCGGUAAGAC
rnacentral:rRNA from 1 species